rnacentral:tRNA from 1 species
UGGGGUGUAGUUCAGUGGUAGAGCAUUUACCUAGCACCCACAAGGCCCUGGGUUCAACCCCCAGCACUAUAU